rnacentral:rRNA from 1 species
UACAGAGGGUGCAAGCGUUGUUCGGAAUUACUGGGCGUAAAGGGCGCGUAGGCGGUCUUCUAAGUCUUGUGUGAAAUCCCUCGGCUCAACUGAGGAACUGCACGGGAUACUGGAUGACUUGAGUUCGGGAGAGGGAAGCGGAAUUCCGGGUGUAGCGGUGAAAUGCGUAGAUAUCCGGAGGAACACCGGUGGCGAAGGCGGCUUCCUGGACCGAUUACUGACGCUGAGGCGCGAAAGCUAGGGGAGCAAACGGG